GCGGGCCCGGCCCCGCCGCUGGGGCCGUGUGGGGAGCGCGGGGACGGCGGGGCCGGGAGGUGCCAGCGGCCCCCGCCCGGAAAGCCGCGAGGCAGCGGGAUGUGCUCGGAUCGUGGUGUCUGGGUUUGUGCUCCCAGGAGAUAUCUCCUUCACCUCCUCAGGGGAAGUUUCCACCUCUGAACUGGAGCAGUGUCUGCAGAAAGAAAUGGGCCAGGAGGCAAAUUCCUCUUGAAGUAAUCUGAGAAGAGAAGUCUUGUAAGAGCUAAAGCCAAGUCAGGGUGGUGCAAUCAGGUGGCUUUGCAGGCCAAGAGAAGUCACAACCAUAUGUCUCUGGGUAGAAGCUGCCAGUUUAUUUCUCCCAACAGCCUCCACAUUGACAGCAUAAAAAUCUUCAUCUUCCCUGUUAUAAGAGUUUGGGGAGUUAUCUUUUUUUGUUUUCUGGCUCCCUGCCAUCAGCCCUGGUGGGACUCAGGGCAAGGCAGCAGUGCCACACAACCCACAUGUCAGCAAACCAUUAAUCCCAAGGGACAGACCCCUGGGGUGAGAAUCCUGCUGCAACGUCUCCAAUUAGACAGCUUACCUCCUGCUUUGCCUCUGCUCUAGCCAUUUCAGACUGAACAUAUUUUAUUGUUCAGACUCCUAGUUAAACGGCUGGGAAGCUCUGGAUGUAAGCACACAGAGAUUACUGGUUCAAUAAUAGAG